GAGUCAACAAUAUUUUCCGUGUUCGUCACAUUAUUGGUGAUAUUUUACUUAUUAAAAUAUAAUAUUAUAAUAAUUAUAAUAUUUAAUAAUAUUAUCGUUUGAUGGUUAUUUCAUCAGUCGUUCUGUUCAAUUCGUGUAAUUGAAAUUAUAAUUUGUAAUCGUGUCAAGCCGUACAAUUUAACUUGUGGUAGAAUUUCAUCAGUCGUUCUGUUCAAUUUGUAUUUCGUACGUUGUGUACUGACUCGUGUCAAGCCGUACAAUUUAACUUGUGUGCACAAAUCUUACAAUCAUGUGGUCAGUUAUUAAUUUUAUUAAUGACAAUACUGUUGAAGUUGUACCAUCGUUUUGGGUCCACAAAACUAAUUGUGCAUGGCCAAAAAAAAAUGCAGCACAUUUUAUAAAACGAAGAAUUCCUCCAAAUAAAUUUGAUUUUAACUACUUACCAGCCAAAAAAAUGUGUAAU